rnacentral:misc_RNA from 1 species
CGGUAAUCUCUUCAUUAUAUGGCAUAGUUGGAAAAUUGGACAAUAAUAUAGCAGCAGCUUCACAGUAGUCCCAAAAAGAAGCGAACGAGAACAAAUAUGAAAUGUAUAGAUGUAACAACAUUAGUUACCGGUGACCGGAUCAGUUAGCCAAGAAUCGGAAAGAUGCGAGUAAUGUGAUCCAAGGGAAUGCUAUCGGAGGAUUUCUUCUUCAGUUCAGGAUGGUUGAAUUCAUUUGGUGGUAUAACAAUAAGUUGGCCCUUCCCAUGACCUUUCUCAAGAAUCCAACUAGAGUUUGCGACUUGGUGCUCAAGAAAUUUGUCCAAAGACAGGCCCUCAAUAUUGAUUGCCUCUGCAAGCACAGAUCUAGGAACCUUUUGAUAAGUUAAGGAAAGAACAUGGACUGCAUAAGCUUGAAUUGCCUGCUCAAAACCUGGCACAGCUUCAACUAUGUGACGGUUCUUGGCAGCUUCAUCCCAGAAUUGACGGAACUUUCCAGUCUCCAAAUAGUGGGAAAGUAUAAUCAAAGUCUUGAAUUGCUCCUCCAUUUGCACUCGUUCUGGAAUUAAAAAGAGACACAGGCUGAAAUCCGGAGCUGGCAUUGCCAUCAGAGCCUUGACCAGGAUGCGAGCCACAAUUUGGGUACUCAUUCUCUCGGGCUCAAACUGGUAAAGGCGAAGAAGGCAUAGAUUGGCAUCUAAACUGUACGUUUCUGACGACACCUGCUCGUUUACGUAGUUUUCGAGAUCGGGGAGAAUGUCCGGAUUGUAAGGAUUCACAGCGAGCAACUGCUCCACCGCGGAGGCCAUCUCUUGCUGCGGCUGCUUCUGCAGUUCUCUCCCCAUUCCGCCGCCGAUUAGGUAUCUGAUUGAGCUUUUUCUUUGUAAAUUGUGUAACAAAACGAAAACAGGGUUUUG